UCCAAAUCCAAAGUCCCAAAAUGCACAUUCU
rnacentral:piRNA from 1 species